rnacentral:rRNA from 1 species
UGAUGUGGAGCAAAACACAAAAAGACAGUCUCAGUUCAGAUUNUAGGCUGAAACUCGCCUAUAUGAAGUCGGAAUUGCUAGUAAUCGCAGAUCAGCAUGCUGCGGUGAAUACGUUCCCGGGCCUUGUACACACCGCCCGUCACACCAUGAGAGUCGAUAACACCCGAAGCCUGUAGUCUAACCAUAAGGAGGACGCAGUCGAAGGUGGGAUUGAUAAUUAGGGUGAAGUCGUAACAAGGUAUC